AUGGCAAAGGCAGCGGCAACGAGGGAGGAGAUGGUCUACUUGGCGAAGCUGGCGGAGCAGGCCGAGCGGUACGAGGAGAUGGUCGAGUUCAUGGAGAAGGUCGUGGCGGCGGCGGGGACCGUCGAGCUCACCAUCGAGGAGAGGAACCUGCUCUCAGUCGCGUACAAGAACGUCAUCGGGGCGCGUCGUGCUUCCUGGCGCAUCGUGUCCUCCAUCGAGCAGAAGGAGGAAGGGCGUGGAGCGGCGGGGCACGCCGCCGCGGCGCGCGGGUACCGCGCACUUGUCGAGGCCGAGCUCUCCAACAUCUGCGCGGGGAUCCUCCGUCUCCUCGACGAACGCCUAGUCCCCGCCGCUGCCGCCGUCGACGCCAAGGUAUUCUACCUGAAGAUGAAGGGAGACUACCAUCGCUACCUCGCGGAGUUCAAGUCGGCCGCCGAGCGCAAGGAUGCCGCUGACUCCACCCUCGGUGCCUACCAGGCCGCUCAGGACAUAGCCAUGAAGGAGCUGCCACCGACUCACCCCAUCAGGCUGGGCCUCGCGCUCAACUUCUCCGUGUUCUACUAUGAGAUCCUCAACUCGCCUGAUCGUGCGUGCUCGCUCGCCAAACAGGCCUUCGAUGAAGCCAUCGCUGAGCUGGAUUCCCUCGGAGAAGAUUCCUACAAGGACAGCACCCUGAUCAUGCAACUUCUCCGUGACAAUCUCACUUUGUGGACCUCUGAUAUGCAGGAUGACGCUGGCGAUGAAAUGAGGGAUUCAAGCAAGCCUGAGGAUGAGCAGUAG
rnacentral:rRNA from 1 species